ensembl:lncRNA
CCAGGACGCCACCCAGGACGCCACCCAGGACGCCACCCAGGACACAAACACUAUGGUGGAAACCUUCUGCCGUCCCAUGUGACAAAAGCAGCCGUGCGGCGUCAUGGAAACGAUGACAACACUUGUGUUUCGAAGAUGAUUCUUUUAUUUAUGCAGUUCUGCUGCUCUGCACAUCUGUAGGUGCACUAUCCUUCUGACCCAAUGACCCAAUGCAGCCAGGUCCCAUCUCCUUUUUAUCUCCUCGCAAGUGUGGCUUGUUUGGUGUCUGCUGUGAAUGAAAACCACAACAAGUCAACUACUUGAUUGAUGAAGGCACGUCAUCCAGCAAAGGCAGCAGUGCAGUCAUCAACUACAUCAACUACUGCACCAUUUCUUCACCAACUAUGGAGUUGGGGAAACACAUGUGGACCUGAAUUGUGAAAACUGCAGUGGCCAAAACAAGAACAAGGUUAUGCUCUGGUAUUGAGUCUGGUGGACCAUGCACAAGCUCCACCACAGUCUGGACCUUCACUUCCUGAUCACAGGCCACACCAAGUUUGCCCCUGACUGGUGCUUCGGGCUCAUCAAGCAGCGCUUCAGAAAGACCAGAGUGAACACUGUCUGAGAUUGCUGGUGUUGUGAAGGACAGCACUGUGACAGGGGUCACCAUCCCACAG